UGCCUUUAUGUGUUGCCCGCUCAUUUAUCUUUUUAAAAUGAAUGUGGUGUCAGAAAAGGCAUACAUCAACUCUUGUUGUGAUCUUAAAUGGAAAUCAAAGUAUUUCCAUUAAAUAAGCUCUAUAAUAAGAACAUCA